GUUGUGCAUGCAUAGAGAACUCCG
rnacentral:piRNA from 1 species